UUAAGAAAGUGCCCCCCUGGGGAAGGGGGACGGGACAGGGGAAGCGGCCGGGGGUGCCUGUGAUUUCCAGUGGGGCCUGGCUCCUGCCGAUUCCCCCUGGAGGUCUCGGAGCUCUAACCUCCUAGGCACCUGCUUGCCCUGAGUUGGGGGGCUGCCUGCUCACAGUGUUGCCAGAUUAAGUCAGGACAGGGCCAGGCGCCCAGACAUUUUCAGCUGCCUGCCCGUGCCGGGAUCGCUGUUCAGGAGCCCAAGGAGGAGGGAGAGGAUUCAAGGGCAUCUGGGCAAUUUGCUUUCUAUUUCGGUGAAGUUUGCCAGAACUUGACAAGCUGAUCCUAAAAUUCAUACAGAAAUUCAAGAAAUUCAAGAAUAUCCAAAACAAUCUGAGAAAAGAACACCUCCUAAUUUCAAAACCUACUACAAAGCAAAAAUAAUGAAGAUAGUGUGGUAAUGGCAUCAUCACAGACUUCUAGAUCAAUGACAUAGAACUGAGCCCAGAAAUAAACCUUAGCAUUCUUGGUCAAUAGACUCUUUA